GGGGAGCUGGCGCAACGGUAGCGCGUCAGAUUCCAGUGCACUGCUUACCCAGCAGUUGUAGGAGAUUCCUGAAGGCUAUCGGUUCAAAUCCGGUGUUCCUCA